AAAUACAGCUGAAAAAAAUGUUCAUCACACUAUAUAUACAGCUAUGGAGUUUGUUCAAUUUAACUGCUUUCUGUUUUCAGUUAUUUGUUCCAUUGCAGCCUUUGCCCAUGAUAUUGAGGGUUACUGCCAAAUAUAUUCGGAAGACAGUUGGUUAUCAUCUCAGCAAAGUCAGCUUGCAAACGCUGCUGAUUCUCCCUGGAAAUAGCAGGAGAAAAUUGGUUUAAGUGACUCGAGAUAUAUUUACUAUGAUUCUUAAUUAUAAGGCCUUCAAAGAUUCUUCUAUUCAACCUUC